UCAGCCGUCCGCGCGAAGUGCCGCCGCCCGAACCUCCCACCACAGCACGCCGCAAUGGAGGCCGACCGCCCAUGGCAUCGCCCGAGCUCACCUCCCAGCAGUCAUUCUCCUUUGAAUUCGUCGGGAUCCGGCUGGAUCCGGACGCCAACGCCCCGUUCCUACCUCCCCGCUUCGCUUGGGUCGUCGGCCAGCUCGACGAUGUCAGACUGUUCGCGGGAUCCAGCACCACCGCUGGCUGGCCACUUCCUCCUGGAGGAGACGCCCCCACAUCGGCGCCUCCCCAUAUGAGCAGCAGCAGCGAACGCCUCGCUAAGGGCAUCUUUGGUGGUGUUUUUUAUAAAUUGUUUUAAAGAAGUUUGCCAGAUCUGUGACUGAAAAACAAUGGCGUUGAACUCCGAUUGACGUCCCGCGAAGGCUGGCGGCGCUUGAUGUGGUGGCUGGAGAAUAUCUCUGGGCAAAACAGUAGGCCAGAUCUAGGGGAAAAAAUCUGUAAUUCCAAGUUUUUGGUUGUGUAUUUCUUCCUUUUGGUAAAAAUAAAAUUUAGUUAUCUAGUAUGUUUAUGCAAUUUUCCUUUUUAUCUACUGUAUAAGGUAAUGAGCAUAUAUAAUAAAAAAACUUACUGACUCAAA